rnacentral:rRNA from 1 species
GAACGGCAGCACGGACUUCGGUCUGGUGGCGAGUGGCGAACGGGUGAGUAUUGUAUCGGAACGUGCCCAGUAGCGGGGGAUAACUACGCGAAAGCGUAGCUAAUACCGCAUACGCCCUACGGGGGAAAGCAGGGGAUCGCAAGACCUUGCACUAUUGGAGCGGCCGAUAUCGGAUUAGCUAGUUGGUGGGGUAACGGCUCACCAAGGCGACGAUCCGUAGCUGGUUUGAGAGGACGACCAGCCACACUGGGACUGAGACACGGCCCAGACUCCUACGGGAGGCAGCAGUGGGGAAUUUUGGACAAUGGGGGAAACCCUGAUCCAGCCAUCCCGCGUGUGCGAUGAAGGCCUUCGGGUUGUAAAGCACUUUUGGCAGGAAAGAAACGUCGUGGGCUAAUACCCCGUGAAACUGACGGUACCUGCAGAAUAAGCACCGGCUAACUACGUGCCAGCAGCCGCGGUAAUACGUAGGGUGCAAGCGUUAAUCGGAAUUACUGGGCGUAAAGCGUGCGCAGGCGGUUCGGAAAGAAAGAUGUGAAAUCCCAGAGCUUAACUUUGGAACUGCAUUUUUAACUACCGGGCUAGAGUGUGUCAGAGGGAGGUGGAAUUCCGCGUGUAGC